AUUGAACGCUGGCGGCAGGCCUAACACAUGCAAGUCGAGCGGCAGCGGGAAAGUAGCUUGCUACUUUUGCCGGCGAGCGGCGGACGGGUGAGUAAUGCCUGGGAAAUUGCCCAGUCGAGGGGGAUAACAGUUGGAAACGACUGCUAAUACCGCAUACGCCCUACGGGGGAAAGCAGGGGACCUUCGGGCCUUGCGCGAUUGGAUAUGCCCAGGUGGGAUUAGCUAGUUGGUGAGGUAAUGGCUCACCAAGGCGACGAUCCCUAGCUGGUCUGAGAGGAUGAUCAGCCACACUGGAACUGAGACACGGUCCAGACUCCCACGGGAGGCAGCAGUGGGGAAUAUUGCACAAUGGGGGAAACCCUGAUGCAGCCAUGCCGCGUGUGUGAAGAAGGCCUUCGGGUUGUAAAGCACUUUCAGCGAGGAGGAAAGGUUGAUGCCUAAUACGCAUCAACUGUGACGUUACUCGCAGAAGAAGCACCGGCUAACUCCGUGCCAGCAGCCGCCGUAACAC
rnacentral:rRNA from 1 species